rnacentral:ncRNA from 2 species
CUAUCGCAUCAAGAGUCGCGGCGACGCCCGACGCCAACCUGCUGAUCCGAGCAAGGUGGAGCCCUCAUCGACUGGAGGGGAUGUGGCCGAACCGGCAACGAAACGGGUUUCG